rnacentral:rRNA from 1 species
GACGAACGCUGGCGGCAUGCCUAAUACAUGCAAGUCGAGCGAACAGAUGAAGUGCUUGCACUUCUGACGUUAGCGGCGAACGGGUGAGUAACACGUAAGGAAUCUACCUAUAAGCGGGGGAUAACAUUCGGAAACGGGUGCUAAUACCGCAUAAUAUCUUCUUCCGCAUGGAAGAAGAUUGAAAGACGGCUCUGCUGUCACUUAUAGAUGACCUUGCGGUGCAUUAGUUAGUUGGUGGGGUAACGGCCUACCAAGACGACGAUGCAUAGCCGACCUGAGAGGGUGAUCGGCCACAUUGGGACUGAGACACGGCACAAACUCCUACGGGAGGCAGCAGUAGGGAAUCUUCCGCAAUGGCCGAAAGCCUGACGGAGCAAUGCCGCGUGAGUGAAGAAGGCCUUCGGGUCGUAAAACUCUGUUAUAAGAGAAGAACAAAUUGGAGAGUAACUGCUACAGUCUUGACGGUAUCUUAUCAGAAAGCCACGGCUAACUACGUGCCAGCAGCCGCAGUAA